rnacentral:rRNA from 1 species
UACAGAGGUCCCAAGCGUUGUUCGGAUUCAUUGGGCGUAAAGGGUGCGUAGGUGGCGUCGUAAGUCGGGUGUGAAAUCUCGGGGCUUAACUCCGAAACUGCAUUCGAUACUGCGGUGCUUGAGGACUGGAGAGGAGACUGGAAUUUACGGUGUAGCAGUGAAAUGCGUAGAGAUCGUAAGGAAGACCAGUGGCGAAGGCGGGGCUCUGGACAGUUCCUGACACUGAGGCACGAAGGCCAGGGGAGCAAACGGG